rnacentral:rRNA from 1 species
UGGGGAAUCUUGCACAAUGGGGGAAACCCUGAUGCAGCGACGCCGCGUGAGCGAUGAAGGUUUUCGAAUCGUAAAGCUCUGUCCUAUGGGAAGAUAAUGACGGUACCAUGGGAGGAAGCCCCGGCUAACUACGUGCCAGCAGCCGCGGUAAUACGUAGGGGGCGAGCGUUGUCCGGAAUUACUGGGCGUAAAGGGUUCGCAGGCGGCAUGGCAAGUCCGAUGUAAAAGGCGAAGGCUCAACCUUCGUAAGCAUCGGAAACUGUCAAGCUUGAGUGAAGGAGAGGCAAGUGGAAUUCCUAGUGUAGCGGUGGAAUGCGUAGAUAUUAGGAGGAAUGCCGGUGGCGAAGGCGACUUGCUGGACUUCAACUGACGCUGAGGAACGAAAGCGUGGGUAGCAAACAGG